rnacentral:rRNA from 1 species
GCUAACGACGGCGCGAGAGCGCGUGUAAUGCGUGGGGGUCGAGCGGUUAUUGGGAAUAGCUGGGCUAAAGGGGGCGGCGGUCGUUGUGUAAAGCGGAAGUGAAAGCCCCGGGCUUAAACUGGGAACUGGCAUUGUGAAUGCACGGGUGUAGGGCGGCUGGGGGGGAUGAAAUUCCGAGGGUAGCAGUGAAAUGCGUAGUGAUGCGGGGGAACAACGAUGGCGAAGGCAAUCCCCUGGGACUGCACUGACGCUCAUGCACGAAAGCGUGGGGAGCAAACAGGAUUAGAUACCCUGGUAGUC